GACAGAGGGUGCAACCGUUGUUCGGAAUUACUGGGCGUAAAGCGCGUGUAGGCGGCCCUGCAAGUCGGAUGUGAAAUCCCUCGGCUUAACCGAGGAACUGCCUGUCAGACUGGAAGGCUUGAGACCGGGAGAGGUGAGUGGAAUUCCCAGUGUAGCGGUGAAAUGCGUAGAUACUGGGAGGAACACCGGUGGCGAAGGCGGCUACCUGGACAGGUACUGACGCUGAGGCGCGAAAGCCAGGGGAGCAAACAGG
rnacentral:rRNA from 1 species